AACGAACGCUGGCGGCAGGCCUAACACAUGCAAGUCGAACGCUGUAGCAAUACAGAGUGGCAGACGGGUGAGUAACACGUGGGAACAUACCCUUAGGUUCGGAAUAGCUCAGGGAAACUUGAGGUAAUACCGGAUAAGCCCUUCGGGGGAAAGGAUUUAUCGCCAUUGGAUUGGCCCGCGUCUGAUUAGCUAGUUGGUGAGGUAAUGGCUCACCAAGGCGACGAUCAGUAGCNGGUCUGAGAGGAUGACCAGCCACACUGGGACUGAGACACGGCCCAGACUCCUACGGGAGGCAGCAGUAAGGAAUAUUGCGCAAUGGGCGAAAGCCUGACGCAGCGACGCCGCGUGGGGGAUGAAGGUCUUCGGAUUG
rnacentral:rRNA from 1 species